rnacentral:lncRNA from 1 species
AGAGAUGCUAAACCAUACAAUCGGGAAAAAGAUAUCAAUAGAAGAGGACAUCAUUUCCUUCAAAACACUGUCUGAACAGUGCUCUACAAUAGAUGACCAAUCGGGUAGAUUACAAAGUUAGUAUUUAGAAUGUGGAGAAACUUUGUCUAAACUGAAAAGAUUGGUAAAGGAAGAACAAGUUAAGCCUGAACAUGGAAGAAUAGCCUCAGCAACCAACUCGUCUUAUGACAGUGUCUUAGAAUUUGUACGUUCUUUUUUGCUUCAAAAUAAUUUUUCGGAAACUUUAGCAUCCUUUCAGAACGAA